GACUGGAGUGUCUAAAGCCCUGAACGUUAAUUUCUACUAGACAGGUAGAGGGAGACAUUAAAUAGGCACACUCUUAAACAAGAUUUCCAACCUAACCCGAUUCCCCCCUUUUCACUUCAUUUUUUUCUUUCUUCCCGCCAAGAAAGCAACAUAAACCCUAGAAGUUCGGGGAUUCAUCUUCGAGAAGAAUUUAACGUCUCUAACGAUCUAAUGAAACGCUCUCCCUCACACUCCCUCACACACAAUUAAGUUUUGCUGCAGGAAAUGCUUCAUUCGACAAAAUUAACUUGGAAGGUUCUCAUCGUGGACAAAGUUACAGCCAAAGUGAUGUCUUGCUCUUGCAGCAUGGCAGAUAUUACAGACAAAGGAGUCUCAUGCUGGCGAAAGAUUGCAUGAGAAGAUGACUUCAUUUGUUUAAAAAAUAAAGCUGCGGAAAUACAAUCGAGAGAUGGGAGUGAACUGUCAUCUGGAGGAGACUUGCAAAAGAUGGUCCAAGCCCUACCACAGAUGAUGAACAAAAGGAUAAGCUCUUCUUCCAUGUAGAGGACUCUCCAGUCUUCGACUAUCAGCUAGCUCUGCAGGUAGUGAUUCUCCAAGUACUGGAGAUCCUACUGUAUCCAUAGCUGAAGGAAAAAGAAUGGCAACCAGCAUAUUCACAAAGAGCAUCUUCAUAAUCUACGUGCUACUCUUGUAUAGCCUCUCGAAGGCGAUGGAGUGUAACUCAUCCUUGCAUCAUCACCUUAACUCAUGCUACCAGUAACUAGUUUAUGUCAAGUUCAGAUGGUCUUUGCAGAUAUUCAUGUGUGUUUCUUUUAUUUGUUCUCAGUGAAGUUACCUUGAAGCAAUACGCAACCAUCCAAUCAGCAAUUCCUUUUGAUAAAAGAGUGUGUAGAUGCCAUCAUUGAGCACCAGAGACUUCUCCAAUUGAUGAAAGGAGAGUUGGUCAAGGGUUUGUUACCACAAAGUAGUGUUCGUCCAGACUACACAAUGCAAACGAUUCAAGAGCUUGCUGAAGGAACUUGCUUGAUGAGCUACGAGUAUCUGGGAACUGCAGCAUUGUGGGAUACCAUUUUUACUCUGCCAUAGAAUGAAGGUCGACCAUGGAGGCAUAAUCUGGGCUAGUUGCACCAAGCAAUAGCUAAGGAUGCAACUGAUGACUUGCGGAAUUUACUGAUAAUUUAGCUCACCAUACAAACAUGGAAUGUCCUGGAUAGCGAGGAGCUUGCUGGUCUUCAUUGCUUUCGUCACCUGCAGGAUCUGUUAGUAACAACUAUGCAGGAUAUAAAACGGAGCUGGAUAAGAUAUUACUAUCUGCACCGCGCCCGACCAAAAGAAUCAGCUAAGCUUCAAAGAACAAGCUCAUUCCCUGAUUUGACUGGUGUGUUCAUUCAAAAUGUUCUGUAGAGUAUGGGCAGACUGCACUGGUGUUGUUCCUUGAUAUUUGAUUUAUAUGAGCCUAAACCCACAGAGGUUAUCUCAAUGCCUUUGUACGAAACCAGAAUCGACUGAACCAGGAAUAGACCUUUCCAACUCGCCUCAUCACCACAUUGGAAGCUUCACUACCGCGGAGAAACCUGCAGAACAGGAGGCCGACUUUCUAUGUGAACUUCUGCACUUCACCAAAGAUCAACGUGCUGAUACCUUUGCGGCUCUCAAUUGUGUUGCUGACAUGAACUUGGCGCCGUCCUUAAUGAACACGGGUACGGAGUCGAACAACCCAACCGCAGGCAGUGUCACCUUCACUGAUGAAGACAUGAUGGCCGAAGAAGGCCCCAACCGAGCCUUAUACGUCACUGCGCGCAUCAGAGACUGUGCUUCUUGGACAGCUUUUAGAGCCCUCUCUCUCUCUCUCUCUCAAUUUUGCAAGGGCUCCUCUGGAAAGAUCUGAAACCUGCUUUUUGGAGUUGUUUAGGUUUUCCCCUGUUACUGAUUGUGGCUUUGGUUUUAGGCAGUACAUUUACAUUGUUCGCUUGUUGUAGAACUCACAGAACUAAGGUUUAUCAUGGUGUUUAUAAACUUGCAGUUUUAUAUAUUGGUUACAGUUCUCAUUUCA